GUAGGGAAUAUUGGUCAAUGGACGAAAGUCUGAACCAGCCAUUCCGCGUGCAGGAAGAAGAUUCUAUGGAUUGUAAACUGCUUUUAGCAGAGAAGAAACGCCUUCAUUGAUGAGGGUUUGACGGUAUCUGCGGAAUAAGCAUCGGCUAACUCCGUGCCAGCAGCCGCGGUAAUACGGGGGGUGCAAGCGUUAUCCGGAAUCACUGGGUUUAAAGGGUGCGUAGGCGGGAAAUUAAGUCAUUGGUGAAAGUCUGUUGCUUAACGAUAGAAUUGCCGUUGAUACUGAUUUUCUUGAAUUGGGUUGAGGUUAGCAGAAUGUGACAUGUAGCUGUGAAAUGCAUAGAUAUGUCAUGGAACACCAAUUGCGAAGGCAGCUAGCUGGGCCUUGAUUGACGCUGAGGCACGAAAGCGUGGGUAGCGAACAGGAUUAGAUACCCGAGUAGUCC
rnacentral:rRNA from 1 species